rnacentral:rRNA from 1 species
AUUGAACGCUGGCGGCAUGCUUUACACAUGCAAGUCGAACGGUAACAGGCCGCAAGGUGCUGACGAGUGGCGAACGGGUGAGUAAUGCAUCGGAACGUGCCCAGUCGUGGGGGAUAACGCAGCGAAAGCUGUGCUAAUACCGCAUACGAUCUGUGGAUGAAAGCGGGGGACCGAAAGGCCUCGCGCGAUUGGAGCGGCCGAUGUCAGAUUAGGUAGUUGGUGGGGUAAAGGCUCACCAAGCCAACGAUCUGUAGCUGGUCUGAGAGGACGACCAACCGCACUGGGACUGAGACACGGCCCAGACUCCUACGGGAGGCAGCAGUGGGGAAUUUUGGACAAUGGGCGCAAGCCUGAUCCAGCAAUGCCGCGUGCAGGAAGAAGGCCUUCGGGUUGUAAACUGCUUUUGUACGGAGCGAAAAGGCUCUCUCUAAUACAGGGGGCUCAUGACGGUACCGUAAGAAUAAGCACCGGCUAACUACGUGCCAGCAGCCGCCGUAACAC